rnacentral:rRNA from 1 species
CUACGGGAGGCAGCAGUGGGGAAUUUUGGACAAUGGGCGCAAGCCUGAUCCAGCAAUGCCGCGUGAGUGAAGAAGGCCUUCGGGUUGUAAAGCUCUUUUGUCAGGGAAGAAACGGUGAGAGCUAAUAUCUCUUGCUAAUGACGGUACCUGAAGAAUAAGCACCGGCUAACUACGUGCCAGCAGCCGCGGUAAUACGUAGGGUGCAAGCGUUAAUCGGAAUUACUGGGCGUAAAGCGUGCGCAGGCGGUUUUGUAAGUUUGUCGUGAAAGCCCCGGGCUCAACCUGGGAAUUGCGAUGAAGACUGCAAGGCUUGAAUCUGGCAGAGGGGGGUAGAAUUCCACGUGUAGCAGUGAAAUGCGUAGAGAUGUGGAGGAACACCGAUGGCGAAGGCAGCCCCCUGGGUCAAGAUUGACGCUCAUGCACGAAAGCGUGGGGAGCAAACAGGAUUAGAUACCCUGGUAGUCCACGCCCUAAACGAUGUCUACUAGUUGUCGGGUUUUAAUUAACUUGGUAACGCAGCUAACGCGUGAGUAGACCGCCUGGGGAGUCGGUCGCAAGAUUAAACUUAAAUGAAUUGACGGNNGNGAGNGCGAGCGACGACGAGGAGAGG